UAAAUCGCAUGCAUACAAGUUUUACUGCCCUUCGGCGUUAACCAAUUCCAAUAAGUUGCCAUCAUAUUGCAUUAAAACUGCCGCAGUUGAUUUCAAACUAGUGGUGUCAUGGAUUUCAUCCGCGGACUGUCACUUUGCACAUUUGUAUGGAUUGUAUUAAUUUAUAAAGCAGCAGUUGCUGUAUUUACUGGACCUCAAGACACCUCUGUCUUGCGGGGAGCCACUACAACACUGUACUGCAGAAACCCUGACUACACAGGGCCAGGUGUAACCUUUUGGAGUGAAGGAGGAGAUACAUUCGCCACUGAGGGAGGUGUCUUUGGGUCUAACACUAAAUAUGACAACUUUGAUGUCAUCACAUCAUCAUCGACGCCAACAACUCAAUUGGAUCUGCAAAUAACCAACGCACAAAUCACAGACGAAGGAACAUAUGAAUGUGAAAUAACGCCAAGUAGACAGGCUGCAACACUCAAAGUUGAAAUUGCAGGAACUGUAGAUGGAAUCACAAUUGAUGGAGACUCAUCGGGCAAUCCAGUCAUCCUGAGAGCAACGGUGGAAAGUGUGCUGAGAUGCACAGCCAGGGGCUUCAGACCUGCUGUCAACUUGGAAUGGUACAAAAAUAAUGUCCAAAUAACAACAGGUGUCAGUGAAGAUGCACCUACUGUCAAUGGAGAUGGAACAAAUGACACGUCAGGCACACUGACGUUUACACCAACAAGGCAAGACAAUGAAGCCAUCCUAGAAUGCAGAACAACAGGACAGGUGGUUGCCCCAGCACAGAAAGCAUCACUCACUCUCAAUGUACAAUAUGUACCAGUGGUCUCAGUUGGGUAUGCUAAUGAAGUGAUAACUUGCUCGUCGGAUGCCAACCCACUGGCUACGAGUAAGAUCAUCCUGAAUGGCACUCAGGUUGUGAAGGAAUUCACGACCAGCCAAGGAUCUCAUCCAUUCACUACAGUAGAUGGCUGUACUGUCAUCAGUUGCAAUGCCACAAACACAGUAGGGACGGGAACAGCAAUUUUUCCCGAAGAAAUAUGCCCAGGACCGCCCAGUACAACAAAAACUUCAAUUCAGACAACGUUACCGCCAGUUGAGGCGACUACUGGUUUACCCAACUCAGUUGGCGCAGUAGUUGGAGCAACGGUGGCAGCUUUCGUCGCUGGAAUCGCCGCUGCCAGUGCCAUAUUUUACCUCUUGAGGAGGCGACAAAACCAGCCUACAGAAACACGUGGCUCGGAAAAAAACAGUACGCGUGAAGGCAGCGAUUAUCUGAAUCCAGACGAGCCGUUUCAAAGUGCAUCUGAAGUCGCGAAAAGGAGUCAAGAUAUUCUGAUGACAAACACUAGCCCAGCUGUGGUCUACGAGAGUAUCCAAGAGGAUCCCAAUGUAUCUCAGGCAUCAAAAGCUACCGUGUACGGCAAUGUUGGGCCUGAUCUCGCAUUCCCACGAGAUCUCGUAAUCAUCGAGAAAGAGCUGGGACGAGGUGCUUUUGGAAAGGUGCUGCUAGGCUCGGCUGUUGGGAUCGAGGAAAACGGAAAGAGGACAAUGGUUGCCGUUAAAACUCUCAAAGGGGGCGCUAGCAAUGAAGAUAAGAAGGAACUUCUUGAAGAGCUGGACCUCAUGAGAAAAGUUGGUCCGCACCCAAAUGUCGUUCAACUGCUUGGAUACUGUAAAGAGAAAGAUCCAGUAUAUGUCAUUGUCGAAUACCUUGCUAAGGGUGACCUCAAGAAAGUGCUGUUGAGUUAUCGAGAUAAGGACCGGGGAACAGGUUAUUCCAAUGUGCCCGGCUUGAGCAAAACUCUUUCACGGACCUUGGUCAAAUUUGCCAGGGAUGUGGCAAGUGGAAUGGCGUUCCUGUCAUCACAAAAGUGUGUGCAUCGUGACCUGGCUGCACGUAACGUGUUAGUGAGUGAUGACUUGGUUUGCAAGGUGUCUGACUUUGGGCUGGCUCGUGACGUCAUGAACAUCCGCAUCUACCAACGACAAUCACAGGUCCCCUUCCUAUGCGGUGGAUGGCACUGGAAUCCCUACUAGAUGACGUGUACACAACAGAGAGUGACGUAUGGUCUUUUGGGGUAUUGUUGUGGGAGAUCAUAACACUUGGAGCCAGACCGUAUCCAAUGAUGACAGCCCAGGCGGCGGUGAGGCAACUUCAGAAGGGCUACCGUAUGCCCAAGCCCCAGCACUGCAGCAAUG
rnacentral:misc_RNA from 1 species